CUACUGCAGAGACCAGCUAAGCCAUUAGCGCUUACAGCACUGAAUGACGUGUGUGCAGAUUGCAUCUAACUAAAAAGGACCCUGACAGACCUGUUGAAGCAGCAGGGCGGUGAAGUGAGCACAGUGGAGAACAGCAGCACCAGCCCCCCGAGCUCUGAGAGGGCCAACGGGACCUCCGCCCGGAUACUGCGCAGCCGAAGCGAACAAUACCAUCUGAACAACUCGCCGUUCGGACAAGGGCUG
rnacentral:lncRNA from 1 species